UAGGGAAUCUUCGGCAAUGGACGAAAGUCUGACCGAGCAACGCCGCGUGAGUGAAGAAGGUUUUCGGAUCGUAAAACUCUGUUGUUAGAGAAGAACAAGGACGUUAGUAACUGAACGUCCCCUGACGGUAUCUAACCAGAAAGCCACGGCUAACUACGUGCCAGCAGCCGCGGUAAUACGGAGGUGGCAAGCGUUGUCCGGAUUUAUUGGGCGUAAAGCGAGCGCAGGCGGUUUCUUAAGUCUGAUGUGAAAGCCCCCGGCUCAACCGGGGAGGGUCAUUGGAAACUGGGAGACUUGAGUGCAGAAGAGGAGAGUGGAAUUCCAUGUGUAGCGGUGAAAUGCGUAGAUAUAUGGGGGAACACCAGUGGCGAAGGCGGCUCUCUGGUCUGUAACUGACGCUGAGGCUCGAAAGCGUGGGGAGCAAACAGG
rnacentral:rRNA from 1 species